UAGGGAAUCUUCGGCAAUGGGGGGAACCCUGACCGAGCAACGCCGCGUGAGUGAAGAAGGUUUUCGGAUCGUAAAGCUCUGUUGUUAAGGAAGAACGAGUGUGAGAAUGGAAAGUUCAUGCUGUGACGGUACUUAACCAGAAAGGGACGGCUAACUACGUGCCAGCAGCCGCGGUAAUACGUAGGUCCCGAGCGUUGUCCGGAUUUAUUGGGCGUAAAGCGAGCGCAGGCGGUUAGAAAAGUCUGAAGUGAAAGGCAGUGGCUCAACCAUUGUAGGCUUUGGAAACUGUUUAACUUGAGUGCAGAAGGGGAGAGUGGAAUUCCAUGUGUAGCGAUGAAAUGCGUAGAUAUAUGGAGGAACACCGGUGGCGAAAGCGGCUCUCUGGUCCGUAACUGACGCUGAGGCUCGAAAGCGUGGGGAGCGAACAGG
rnacentral:rRNA from 1 species